UACGGGGGGGGCAAGCGUUGUUCGGAAUUACUGGGCGUAAAGGGCUCGUAGGCGGCCAACUAAGUCAGACGUGAAAUCCCUCGGCUUAACCGGGGAACUGCGUCUGAUACUGGAUGGCUUGAGUGUGGGAGAGGGAUGCGGAAUUCCAGGUGUAGCGGUGAAAUGCGUAGAUAUCUGGAGGAACACCAAUAGCGAAGGCAGCUCGCUGGGACGUUACUGACACUAAGGCGCGGAAGCGUGGGGAGCGAACAGG
rnacentral:rRNA from 1 species